rnacentral:rRNA from 1 species
GCGGGAAGAGCUCAAAUUUGAAAUCUGGUGGCCUCAGGUCAUCCGAGUUGUAAUCUAUAGAAGUGUUUUCCGUGCUGGCUCAUGUACAAGUCCCUUGGAACAGGGCGUCAUAGAGGGUGAGAAUCCCGUCCUUGACAUGAACUACCAGUGCUCUGUGAUACAUUUUCAACGAGUCGAGUUGUUUGGGAAUGCAGCUCAAAAUGGGUGGUAAAUUCCAUCUAAAGCUAAAUAUUGGCGAGAGACCGAUAGCGAACAAGUACCGUGAGGGAAAGAUGAAAAGCACUUUGGAAAGAGAGUUAAACAGUAUGUGAAAUUGUUAAAAGGGAAACGAUUGAAGUCAGUCGUGCUCUUUGGAUUCAGCCGGUUCUGCCGGUGUACUUCCUUUGAGUGGGGUCAACAUCAGUUUUGAUCGCUGGAUAAAGGCUGGAGGAACGUAGCACCCCCGGGUGAACUUAUAGCCUCCUGUCACAUACAGUGGUUGGGACUGAGGAACGCAGCACGCCUUUAUGGCCAGGAUCCGUCCAUGUACGUGCUUAGGAUGUUGACAUAAUGGCUUUAAACGACCCGUCUUGA